GCGGAGGUGGGGGGGGGAGAGGACGGCGGAACGACAGCGGCCCCGGCCAAUCGCCGCGCAGCACCGGCGGAGCGGCGGCCAAUGGGGCGAAGGCGCUCGAGGCCGACCGCGGCGAUCAGGUGAUCGCGAGUGGCCAAUGGGCGCCCCAGGGGGGCGGGGUGCCGCGUGCGCGCCGGUUGCGCCGCGAGUGGGGGACGCGAAACAGCGGGAUGCGAAUGGAAAGGUGUGGAAUAAAGGGAUUGAGAGAUGGCGGAUAGAGAGCUUUAUAUACGGAGCAUGAGCAUUUCAUAGUGUGGAGUAUUAUCAACACUGUUUUCAGAACAAAUCCAGAACACGGCUCCAUGGUAGCUAAAGAAAAUUAACUCCACCCCAGCCAAAACCAGCACAUAAAGAUACCAGCGCAGUGUUACACUGAAGACACAAAAACCCAUCCCCGGUGUCUGGAAAAUACCCAACCUGAUACAAUGAAGAAGUAAAUGUAUCAAAUGUUACCUAAGUUGUGAAAAAGUCUUGGAUAAUAAGCUGCUUAACAUAAGAGAAAUGUACUAACUGAAGAACAUAGUGAAAGUUUGUAGACAGUGCUGCAAGCCCCCAGCACAGGAGAGUGAGAAGAGACACAUUUGAACAUUUCUGCUUGUUCCAUUUUGGAGACACUGCUGAAAGACUACAUGAAUAUAAGAAAAAAUGUGUUCAUAAGUAGGUUUUGGAA